GAGCAGCUGAAGGAAGAACCCAGCCAAGAAACACUCGAUUUGAGCUGAAAAGGUCACUGCCCACGAUGGCAUCACCACGGCUGCUGAAGCUUUUGUGCCUGUCACCUGCUGGAUACAGCUGUCAGCCGGGUGGGGCAGUGUUCUUUAUCUCUUCAGGACACAUCCCUGAUAACUCCCUCUGGAGGGGCAUCUUCUGUUAAUGGGCCAUCAGACCUCACUGUGACUCAUGAAAUUACAUCAUCCCAUUGUGGGAUGCUCUGC